rnacentral:rRNA from 1 species
UGCGUAGGCGGCGGGGAAAGUCAGAUGUGAAAUCCGGAGGCUCAACCUCCGAAAUGCAUCCGAUACUCCCUCGCUAGAGAUUUGUAGAGGAGCUUGGAAUUCUCGGUGUAGCAGUGAAAUGCGUAGAUAUCGAGAAGAACGCUCGCAGCGAAGGCGAAGCUCUGGGCAAAUUCUGACGCUGAUGCACGAAGGCGUAGGGGAGCGAAACG